GCAUCUUCCAAAAAUGACAUGUGACCAUGAACUUGCACUAACUUCCUAUUCACCUGUGAAAAUACUCGCUUAAUUUUAUGUAUUUGUGUUUUUCUGAUCGUUAGGAUGUGGUUAGAUUAAUAAAUGCAAUUAUUAAAUUGCUAUUUGGAAACAGCUUGUGGAUUAAUUGAUUUUCCAAUGCAGAUGUCAUGAAAAGGAAUCCUGCUAUGAAGAGACAGUACAGGCCUGCAGUUUGGGUGAUGGCUUUUCUUGAUUGCAGGUUGGCAGGUGUCCUGUGUUUGGUGUCGUGCAGCUGAAGGUGUUGCCAUGGAAAAAUCUUCUCCCAGACACUCCUGGGCAAAGGUCAGACCUGAAUCACUGACUGUUAUCAUACCUGAGAUGAGCUCUUAAAAAAAACACCUGCAGAGACGGAGCAUGAUGUGCCGCUGUACUUCAAAUUAGAAUUCCAGCCUCACACUUAUGGUUGGCAAAAUUAUAAACCCACACCAUGAGUCUGAAUCUGCCAUAAGAUAUCUUGGUUCCUAUU